ensembl:lncRNA
AAUGUGGUAAAUAUAAGAGGAAUAUGUCAAAGUCAUUUAUAUGUGCCAAUCUUCCUGCUGCCAGCUGGUGGCGCUAUGACUAUAACUGAAUAUGGGCAUGUUGAUCUGUUCAGGUCAGGAGUCUUAUCAAACAUGUGAAGUUUGGGGCAGAUUGGACAUUGUAUGUCUGAGUUAUAGCAACUUCCUUUUUCAUGGCGAAACAUCGAAAUUUGUCAGGCCG